AUCUUCCACCAUGAUUGUGAAGCCUCCCCAGCCGUGUGGAACUGUGACUCCAUUGAACUUCUUUCCUUUAUAAUUACCCAGUCUCAGGACACUAGAAGUCCCUGGGAGACUCUGACUAGUGAAGCUCAUACAACUAACUGUGAUGGUGGAGAUGAGGAUAGUCUUAAAGGUAACACGGUUGCAACAGACUCAUCUAUGCGAAUAUAAAGGCUCUUCCUUCUGCAGCAAGUAGAAGGCAUGACUGAAGCAACUCAAGUCUACAUCAUCCCAGCUUCGCAAUCUCCCAAGAGAACAAGAGCCCCAGUUGGCCAACAUCUGAACAUAAAUUCUCAUCAGUCCACCUUCAUAAGCAGACGGGGAGGGUCUCCAGGGAUAACAGGAAUUUAACCAACUUCAGCAAUGAGCCUGGUUUACAGCCUCCUGCCCUGCAGCCUGUUCUUCCACAAACCCUGGGUAAAAUGCAGUCACCUUGUUGGUUUAAACCAGCUCUUGACAGACCCCCGGCAACAUACAGAUGAACGCAAGUGAACUUUCUCAUGACCACGCUAAAGUCUCCACCCUGGGCAACCUGUAGCUUCAUUACCAUGACAUGCAACCUAUGCGCUGACGUAAUGACUCACUGCAUCUGUGCAACUAGACCUCUCCU
rnacentral:lncRNA from 10 species